AGUGAAGCGGCAACAGCUCAAAUUUGAAAUCUGGCCCCGUCGGGGUCCGAGUUGUAAUUUGUAGAGAGUGUUUCGGGUGAGGCCACGGUCUAAGUCCAUUGGAACAUGGCGUCACAGAGGGUGAGAAUCCCGUAUGUGACUGUGGUCCGAGCCCAUGUGAAGCCUCUUCGACGAGUCGAGUUGUUUGGGAAUGCAGCUCAAAAUGGGUGGUAAAUUUCAUCUAAAGCUAAAUACUGGCUGGAGACCGAUAGCGCACAAGUAGAGUGAUCGAAAGAUGAAAAGCACUUUGGAAAGAGAGUCAAAAAGUACGUGAAAUUGUUGAAAGGGAAGCGCUUGCAACCAGACCUGUCCGUAGGCGAUCAGCCGCUGUUCUCAGCGGUGCACUCGCUCUGCGAUCAGGCCAGCAUCGGUUUCGGCGGUCGGAUAAAGGCCCUGGGAAUGUAGCUUCUUUCGGGGAGUGUUAUAGCCCUCGGUGCAAUGCGGCCAGCCGAGACCGAGGACCACGCGUAUGCUAGGAUGCUGGCGUAAUGGUUGUCAGCGACCCGUCUUGAAACACGGACCAAGGAGUCUAACAUCUAUGCGAGUGUUUGGGUGUCAAACCCAUACGCGGAAUGAAAGUGAACGGAGGUGAGAACCCAUUAGGGCGCAUCA
rnacentral:rRNA from 1 species